rnacentral:lncRNA from 1 species
UGCAGCCCCUCCUACCUGGACGACAGGCAUUGAGUUGACAGAGAAGAGCUUGAAUCAUCAACAUGGCGUGAGUGACCACAUCCCUCACUCUGAGCCCCACUCCACAGCAGAUGACUCUGAAUCGCCCCGGCUAACGGCGUGCCCAGCAUCCUGAUGCUCUGAUUAGUCCUGAAUCACCCGAGGGCGGGCGGUGCGGUGGCUGGGCUGUCUCAGAGGGCAUCGCGGGCUGGGUGGACGAGGCUGGCCCAGAAGAGGGCAACAAGCAUUUGACAGGGAGUGGCAGGCUACCAUCUUGCCUCUUCUGCAGUUUGCGACACUUAGGGUCAUGAGUGUUUUUCCUCACACUAAGGAAGGAGACCACUACUCCUCCUGAUGCCCUCCUUCCCCCCACCUUGCCUAGUUCACAAAACAGGAAGAGAGAAAAAGCAAAAAGUUGGAAAAAAACAAAAGUAAGAUAAAUAGCCAGAUAACCUUGGCACCACCACCCGGCCCUAGGAGUUAAAAAAAGUGAUAAUAAUAACAUCAACCCCUGACCUAAACUACUUGUGUAAAUUCCAGACACUGUAUGAAAAAAGCAUUGUAAAACUUUCUGUUCUGUUAGCUGAUGCCUGUAGCCCCCAGUCACGUUUCCCACGCUUGCUUGAUGUACUACGACCCUUUCACGUGGACCCCUUAAAGUUGUAUGCCUUUAAAAAGGCCAAGAAUUUCUUUUUCAGGGAGCUCAGCUCUUAAGACUCAAGUCUGCCAAUGCUCCUGGCUGAAUAAAAACCUCUUCCUUCUUUAAUCCGGUGUUUGAGGAGUUUUGUCUGCGGCUUGUCCUGCUACAAUACAGUGGCCCGAAAGGCAAGGAAACUCCCGCAAGCGUUCAGAAAGGCUGCGGGUUUUUCAGGUAACAUUUCUGCAGCCACUGAUGUCUGACCCAAAGAGCUCUGAAUGCUUGCCAGAGAGAUGUGUAGUUCUAAUCCCAAAGCCCUGAAUGUUCUGAUUUCCUCAUUAAGACUGACUUAACAUGAGCUAUUUAGUCAGCUGAGUUAUCAACUGAAGAAAGUAACCGGUGUUUCCCACUUAUUUUCUUCUGUGGUUGUUUGAAAACAGCCGUGGUGUGGACAGAGUUCAUGCAGCCUUGAUGGUGGUGUGUCCCCAGCUCCACGCACGCACUAAACCUUUAAUUCAUUUCAGCAUAAAUAAGUUAAUGAAUAUGCAUACAUGAAUAAAUUAACUGGCAUAGUUUUAGUCCUAUUGAAGUUUUAAACUCACCAAUUUAUCCAACUUCUCUGCACUGAGUUUUUAUUCAAGUGAACUAUUCCAGUCUUGUGACUUCUGAUAUAAUAAUAGUAACGACUAAUAUUUAUUAGAACUUUAGUUUACCAAGCACUCCACAUUUUAUUUUUACAUUUUGUCUUCACAAACCCCCAUGAGACAGGCAUUCUCACCACUCGCAGUGUUGAUUGGCAUGCAGAGGCUCAGGGGUUUAAAUGGUUUCACUGAAGCAAUGUGAUCCGGUAGGAUGUUGCUUUCCUAUUCCUCCUAAUACCACCGUGUUCAGACAUGGGCAGCCGAGUGAGAAUAGAUCAUUUCAUGUGUGUGUAUAGACGUAACCUACACUCACAGGCGGAAAGCUGUGCAGGCUGAGAAGUGAAGCCCUCGGCUGAAUGACCAACAACAGCGUUCUAGGACCCCUUGUCCUUGCUCCGCAGGCUACACCCCUCACAUCUCCUCUGAACCAGAAAGAAAACUCUGCGGUUGCUUCUCCCUUUGACAGUCAGCCACAGUUCUCUUCAAUGUUCUCCUGGGGACUUGGGUCAAUGUUCUCCCGUCAAAUCUUAGCCAGGCCCAAGAUUACUGUGCCC